CCUACGGGAGGCAGCAGUGGGGAAUUUUGGACAAUGGGCGCAAGCCUGAUGCAGCCAUGCCGCGUGUAUGAAGAAGGCCUUCGGGUUGUAAAGUACUUUCAGCGGGGAGGAAGGCGGUGAGGUUAAUAACCUCGCCGAUUGACGUUACCCGCAGAAGAAGCACCGGCUAACUCCGUGCCAGCAGCCGCGGUAAU
rnacentral:rRNA from 1 species